UUUAGUUAGUACCUCGGCGUCCAGGAAGUAGUAACGACGUAGACGGGACGGGACGUUAACUAACAUAGCGAAGUACGAGGUAGGGUAAAAUGGGUAGCAAUACUAUGAGACCGGCGGACGGGUGCGUAACGCGUAUGCAACAUACCUUGUGCAGGGGGAUAGCCCGUGGAAACGCGGAUUAAUAUUCCAUAGUCCAGCUAUAUCGCAUGGUAUAGUUGGUAAAGAUUUAUCGGCACAAGUUUGGCAUGCGUCUGAUUAGCUUGUUGGUAGGGUAACGGCCUACCAAGGCUACGAUCAGUAGGGGUUCUGAGAGGAUUAACCCCCACACUGGUACUGAGACACGGACCAGACUCCUACGGGAGGCAGCAGUGAGGAAUAUUGGUCAAUGGGCGGAAGCCUGAACCAGCCAUCCCGCGUGAAGGAAGACAGCCUUACGGGUUGUAAACUUCUUUUCUGUCAGAAGAAUAAGCUUGUCGAGACGAGUGAUGCCGGUAUGACAGGAAUAAGCAUCGGCUAACUCCGUG
rnacentral:rRNA from 1 species